rnacentral:rRNA from 1 species
GAUGAACGCUGGCGGCGUGCCUAAUACAUGCAAGUCGAACGAAGAUCUAGCUUGCUAGAUCUUAGUGGCGAACGGGUGAGUAAUACAUAAAUAAUCUGCCCAUAUGACUGGGAUAACUAUUGGAAACGAUAGCUAAUACCGGAUAGGUUGAUCGGAGGCAUCUCUGAUGAAUUAAAGUAGGAUUUCUACACAAAUGGAUGAGUUUGUGGCGCAUUAGUUAGUUGGUGGGGUAACGGCCUACCAAGACGAUGAUGCGUAGCCGACCUGAGAGGGUGACCGGCCACACUGGGACUGAGACACGGCCCAGACUCCUCCGGGAGGCAGCAGUAGGGAAUUUUCGGCAAUGGGCGCAAGCCUGACCGAGCAACGCCGCGUGAGUGAUUAAGGCCUUCGGGUUGUAAAGCUCUGUUGUAAGGGAAGAACAUUCAGGAUAGGAAAUGAUCUUGAACUGACGGUACCUUACCAGAAAGCCACGGCUAACUACGUGCCAGCCGCCGCGGUAA